UGGCGCAGGAAACAAGCGUAUGCGGGUGCAGUGAUAGACCCGAUGUUCUGCGUCAUAGAGUUUCCUACAAACAUUUUGUAGGAAACUAUAUGUUCUAAGUAGACCACAGGCCAUUGACCUAGACACUGUGUAAUGCGGCCAUGUAUCUUGUGUUCCAAUCCUGGCCAGUUGGUUCUUUAUUCUACGCUGAGCUUUCUAUGGCUGAGCAGUGCUGCUCUAUGCUGUGCUCCCUGAAGGGCUAUAGCGCCAACCUUCCCGCUUUCACAACGAGAUGCUGGGACAUUUCAUUUCUUAUUCUCGCCAUGUCUGCAGUGGUGUCCGGUCGUCAGCAGGCACAUUGUUUUCAAGGUUUAUGAUGCUCAAGCCAGCCAGCAAGAGAGUGAUCUUCCAAGUACGGUUCGCCCUCCAGCCCCACAGCACCAUACCGUGUGCCUUUAGGAGUGCUGACAAAUUUUCUUCCUCUUUUGAAACUGGUAGUGGUCUAACUUGUAGUCACGGUAAUGACUACAAGGCUAAACCUCACUAUCUUCAGCGCCCAAAAAGAAUGUUAACUUUGAAGUGGCAACUUUAAGAUGAGCACUUGCUGCAACAUGUUUCCUUGGUAGUACUGCUGUGGAGGCCAGUGCAAUUAACCACUGCUGCUAUGUUGAGCCCAGUAUGAUUUGGUACUGCUACCAACCAGAUAACGCUAUAGAGAUGUAGAUGUAGCAGCUCGUCUCCGGCAUCAGCUGAAUCAAUGCUUUGGCUUUUUGUGGCACCUGAUUGCAUUUUAAGUAGUGCUGUAUGUUUUCAAAAAUGGGACAAAUAUAGAAUCUUGUUAUGUGAUGUCAGGCUGAGUGUACGGAAAGCAGUGAGACAGUUUAAAAGGAAAGGACUGAUCUGGUACUGAUACAAAUAGCUCAGCACUCUCAGCAGCAUGGUGUGGCCUGGUACCACUGCAUUUGGUUGUCUAGUGCAUACCAAGUGUGCUGUGGUACCAGAUAACCACUAACUGCAAUUACAUUGACAUUCCUUAGGAUCCAUGAAUAUACACACGAGUUGGCUGUAGUCACUCGCAUCGAAAUAUGAUAUAGUUAUUCUACUCGAAUGAUUUAUAGAGCAUACCAUUUUCGUACUUAUACUGCAUGCUUACUUAUUCGAGGACAAUCACUUCCUCGUCAAGUGAGAACAAUAUGUUAAAACUUUUUUUUUUUUUUGGUGGAGUAGCUGUGUUCCAAAUUUUUCCCCGUUGUGGAUGAGCUAAUUUUGCACCCUUCUGCAGCUGGGGGUUGCCUGCUUUUCUUACGGAAUUUAUCAUUGUGCUAACGUAUUGGUAUUUUUCAGAUUGUUUUUCCUAUAGGAUAUAUUGCUCUUUUGGGCCUUCAGCUGUUGCUCUCCUUUGUUUCACUACGUUGCUUCUAUUUUUCUUUUGCUGAAUACAAGGCUAGUCAAAUAGUGCUUUGAUGUUUCCAUAUGCGAAUUUUGUUUUUGUUCAUGAGAAGUCUGAUAAUGUGCCAUUUGUGUUUUGUUUUCCUGGAGAGAAUGCAACUAACACUGCGCUAUGAGAAGUGUUCCUUGGCAAGCGUUGCUUUUAAUGUAUCAUUUUAUUUAUCCCUUAGUAUGUUUAUGCUUAGCUGUUAUGCGUAUGUGGUGUUUUUGUAUUGGUUCAUGUGUUAAGUGUUCAUUGUGCCUUUCAGAAACCAAGAGAUGGCAUUGUAUUGUAUUUUUACUGUUCACUUUAUUUUCACGAGACAGCUGCAGUCUGCCAUUGUAUUUCACUGCAAAUAUUGUGUACAUCAUUACGUACUUGUCAAAUGGUUGACACCAGGAAAAAAGUUUCACAAUAAAAAUGCUGGUGGUG